AUUGAACGCUGGCGGCAGGCCUAACACAUGCAAGUCGAGCGAGUGGCGGACGUGAGAGUUAUGCUUGGGAAUUGCCCAGCCGAGGGAGCUAACCGUUGGAUACGACUGCGUAUACCGCAUACGGCGGGUUUGCCGAGGUGGGAUGAGCUAGUUGGUGUGGUCCUGGCUCCCCACGGCGAAGAUCCCUAGCGGGUUGUAGAGGAUGAUCAGCCACAAUGCACUGUAGACACGUUCCAGGCUCCUUCGGGAGGCAGCAGUGGGUGAUAUUGCACAAUGGGGGAAUGCCUGAUGCAGCCAUGCCGCGUGUGUGAAGAAGGCCUUCGGAUUGUAAAGCACUUUCAGCGAGGAGGCGUUACUCGCAGAAGAAGUACCGGCUAACUCCGUGCCAGCAGCCGCGGUAAUAC
rnacentral:rRNA from 1 species